CAUGAUUACCUUUUUUAACAAACUGUGAACUUUAUAAUUUUUACUAUUCGUGUGUUGAACUUUAUGUUGAAUUACACUGUCAUUCGAUGAACAUUAGAUAGCUGGCUUGUUUUGAUCAACUUUCUCAGCUGAUUGUUUGUAUUGACUAAACAUCUUACAACAAUCACCAUACAACAUAGAAA
rnacentral:misc_RNA from 1 species